GAUGAACGCUGGCGGCGUGCCUAAUACAUGCAAGUCGAGCGAACAGACGAGGAGCUUGCUCCUCUGACGUUAGCGGCGGACGGGUGAGUAACACGUGGAUAACCUACCUAUAAGACUGGGAUAACUUCGGGAAACCGGAGCUAAUACCGGAUAAUAUAUUGAACCGCAUGGUUCAAUAGUGAAAGACGGUUUUGCUGUCUCUUAUAGAUGGAUCCGCGCCGCAUUAGCUAGUUGGUAAGGUAACGGCUUACCAAGGCAACGAUGCGUAGCCGACCUGAGAGGGGGAUCGGACACACUGGAACUGAGACACGGACAAGAGUCCGAAGGGAGGCAGCAGUAGGGAAUAUGCCGCAAUGGGCGAAAGCAUGACGGAGCAACGCCGAGUGAGUGAUGAAGGUCUUCGGAUCGUAAAACUCUGUUAUUAGGGAAGAACAAAUGUGUAAGUAACUAUGCACGUCUUGACGGUACCUAAUCAGAAAGCAACGGCUAACUACGUG
rnacentral:rRNA from 1 species